UUUCCCCGCUAAAUCUAGCGGAAAAAUUUCCCCGCUAAAUCUAGCGAAAAUUUUCCCUGCUAGAUUUAGCGGAAAAA
rnacentral:pre_miRNA from 1 species